CCUACGGGUGGCAGCAGUGAGGAAUAUUGGUCAAUGGGCGCGAGCCUGAACCAGCCAAGUCGCGUGAGGGAAGACGGCCCUACGGGUUGUAAACCUCUUUUGCCGGGGAGCAACGGGCGCCACGUGUGGCGCCACUGAGAGUACCCGGAGAAAAAGCAUCGGCUAACUCCGUGCCAGCGGCCGCGGUAAUACGGGGGAUGCGAGCGUUAUCCGGUUUUAUUGGUUUAAAGGGGUGCGUAGGCGGAGCGUUAAGUCAGUGGUAAAAUUGAGGGGCUAAACCCCUUCCCGCCAUUGAAACUGGCGCUCUUGAGUGGAAGAGAAGUAUGCGGAAUGCGUAGUGUAGCGGUGAAAUGCAUAGAUAUCACGCAGAACCCCGAUUGCGAAGGCAGCAUGCCGGCUUCCGACUGACGCUGAAGCACGAAAGCGUGGGGAUCGAACAGGAUUAGAUACCCGAGUAGUC
rnacentral:rRNA from 1 species